rnacentral:rRNA from 1 species
UACGAAGGGGGCGAGCGUUGUUCGGAUUUACUGGGCGUAAAGGGCGCGCAGGCGGUUCUGUUUGUCGAGUGUGAAAGCCCCGGGCUCAACCUGGGAACUGCGCUCGAAACGGCGGAACUAGAGUUCGGGAGAGGAGAGUGGAAUUCCCAGUGUAGAGGUGAAAUUCGUAGAUAUUGGGAAGAACACCGGUGGCGAAGGCGGCUCUCUGGACCGAUACUGACGCUGAGGCGCGAAAGCCAGGGGAGCAAAGCGGG